CGGACGGGUGAGUAAUGUCUGGGAAACUGCCCGAUGGAGGGGGAUAACUACUGGAAACGGUAGCUAAUACCGCAUAAUGUCUACGGACCAAAGCGGGGGACCUCCGGGCCUCGCGCCAUCGGAUGUGCCCAGAUGGGAUUAGCUAGUAGGUGGGGUAACGGCUCACCUAGGCGACGAUCCCUAGCUGGUCUGAGAGGAUGACCAGCCACACUGGAACUGAGACACGGUCCAG
rnacentral:rRNA from 1 species